CACCAUAUAUCUAUAGGUAGGUCACUCUUACAACAUAUAUCUAUAGGUAGGUCACUCUUACACCAUAUAUAUAUAGGUAGGUCACUCUCACACCAUAUGUCUAUAGGUAGGUCACUCACACCAUAUAUCUAUAGGUAGGUCACUCACACCAUGUAUCUAUAGGUAGGUCACUCUCACACCAUAUAUCUGUAGGUAGGUCACUCACACACCAUAUAUCUAUAGGUAGGUCACUCUCACACCAUAUAUCUAUAGGUAGGUCACUUACACCAUAUAUCUAUAGGUAGGUCACUAUCACACCAUAUAUCUAUAGGUAGGUCACUCUCACACCAUAUAUCCAUAGGUAGGUCACUCUCACACCAUAUAUCUAUAGGUAGGUCACUCUCACACCAUAUAUCUAUAGGUAGGUCACUCUCACACCAUAUAUCUAUAGGUAGGUCACUCUCAC